UAGCCAUGGUGAGGACAAGAUCUUUGAAGAUCCUUGAACCUAUCUCAAGCUCCAUAUAAUGUCCCAUCCUCCUCCUGAAAGAAAUUAGAUAUCUUCCUCUUGACUUC
rfam:Beta vulgaris subsp. vulgaris Bvchr9.sca005.con0006.1, whole genome shotgun sequence.